rnacentral:rRNA from 1 species
GACGAACGCUGGCGGCGUGCUUAACACAUGCAAGUCGAACGGAAAGGCCCUGCUUUUGUGGGGUGCUCGAGUGGCGAACGGGUGAGUAACACGUGAGUAACCUGCCCUUGACUUUGGGAUAACUUCAGGAAACUGGGGCUAAUACCGGAUAGGAGCUCCUGCUGCAUGGUGGGGGUUGGAAAGUUUCGGCGGUUGGGGAUGGACUCGCGGCUUAUCAGCUUGUUGGUGGGGUAGUGGCUUACCAAGGCUUUGACGGGUAGCCGGCCUGAGAGGGUGACCGGCCACAUUGGGACUGAGAUACGGCCCAGACUCCUACGGGAGGCAGCAGUGGGGAAUAUUGCACAAUGGGCGGAAGCCUGAUGCAGCAACGCCGCGUGCGGGAUGACGGCCUUCGGGUUGUAAACCGCUUUCGCCUGUGACGAAGCGUGAGUGACGGUAAUGGGUAAAGAAGCACCGGCUAACUACGUGCCAGCAGCCGCGGUGAUACGUAGGGUGCGAGCGUUGUCCGGAUUUAUUGGCGUAAGGGCUCGUAGGUGGUUGAUCGCGUCGGAAGUGUAAUCUUGGGGCUUAACCCUGAGCGUGCUUUCGAUACGGGUUGACUUGAGGAAGGUAGGGGAGAAUGGAAUUCCUGGUGGAGCGGUGGAAUGCGCAGAUAUCAGGAGGAACACCAGUGGCGAAGGCGGUUCUCUAGGCCUUCCCUGACGCUGAGGAGCGAAAGCGUGGGGAGCGAACAGGCUUAGAUACCCUGGUAGUCCACGCUGUAAACGGUGGGUACUAGGUGUGGGGUCCAUUCCACGGGUUCCGUGCCGUAGCUAACGCUUUAAGUACCCCGCCUGGGGAGUACGGCCGCAAGGCUAAAACUCAAAGGAAUUGACGGGGCCCCGCACAAGCGGCGGAGCAUGCGGAUUAAUUCGAUGCAACGCGUAGAACCUUACCUGGGUUUGACAUGGAUCGGGAGUGCUCAGAGAUGGGUGUGCCUCUUUUGGGGUCGGUUCACAGGUGGUGCAUGGCUGUCGUCAGCUCGUGUCGUGAGAUGUUGGGUUAAGUCCCGCAACGAGCGCAACCCUUGUUCACUGUUGCCAGCACGUUAUGGUGGGGACUCAGUGGAGACCGCCGGGGUCAACUCGGAGGAAGGUGGGGAUGACGUCAAGUCAUCAUGCCCCUUAUGUCCAGGGCUUCACGCAUGCUACAAUGGCUGGCACAGAGAGUGGCGAGCCUGUAAGGGUGAGCGAAUCUCGGAAAGCCGGUCUCAGUUCGGAUUGGGGUCUGCAACUCGACCUCAUGAAGUCGGAGUCGCUAGUAAUCGCAGAUCAGCAACGCUGCGGUGAAUACGUUCCUGGG